UUGUUUGUUUUUUAGCACUUUAGACACGUUAAACGUUACUCGAUUCAGUCUGCCUGUCUGUGACGUCAUCAGUACGCAGCGGCAGCCGCGCGAAACUCGGAACAACAACAAAACACAGCGUGGAGGAGACAACUGCCAGCGAGACAUUUACAAACCAACAUAUCGAUCCAGCGUGUGGAAACAUUUCGGCUUUUGCAAACACGGAGGUGUUCUGAAUAAGUCGGUCGCUGUUUGUAGAAUAUGUAGAAGACAAAUAAAAAAACACGGAAACAGGACGAAUCUUUCCAGCCAUCUACUAAGGCGCCGUGGGAUUAAACAACGCCGACAGUCAGGACCUCUAGCAGCGUUACCGCUGCAGCAGCAGCAGAUUCUUGAAAUUGUCAAGGCAACAGGCCAACAAACCACAACUACAGAGAGCCGGGUUGUGCGGCAUAACAGCAGCAGGAAGGACGGACCUGCGAUACCUCUCCGUCACACACCGGGGGUGAAGGAGCUCUACAGGGCUGCCAGCUCGAGGCCUCAUCCGUCAGCAAUGAUACCUUAGCCUCCUCCUCCUGUCUCCCACCACCUCCACCAUAUCUAGAGGACACCCCAGCACACUGUGAAGAUAAGGAUCACAAAACAUAUACUGAUUCCAAACCUUAAUUGUUUUAGUAUAGAAAAUACAAUACUUCAGAAGGGACAAAUUCAUUCAAUUCAGAAAAAGGGUUUCCUCCAAAGCUGUGUGACAUUAGGCCAUCGGGCGGAACCCAUCCCUGGACCGGGAUUGUCCAGGCCAGCGAUUCCCAAAGUGUGGGCCGUGAGGUCAUUUACAACAAAUAAAUAAAAUGUUUUUAAUUUUCAACUUUUCAACUAAAUAUAUAUGAGCUCCGGAGAAAAUGGUAUACAAAACAUACAUUGUCGGUUAAUACAUGUUUAAUCGGUUCAAUUCUUGAGGUCAUUUAAUCACCCCUAGUUGAUGUUUUGAUCAGAGUUGAGAUUGAAGGUUUGAGUGGGCCGCAAAAGAUUUUCAGACUUCAAAUUGGGGCGCGGCAUUCUUGAGUUUGGGAACCGCUGGUCCAGGCCCAUUAAAUUGAGUUUUGAAGUGAUGUGAAUUUGUCAACGUUAAAGUUGUAAUCUCUAUAUAAAUAUUUGGUAUAUAAAUAUACGUUUUGUUUUUAGCUUUGACCAAACCCCAAAAAACACACAAGCAAAAUCCACAAUGGAGCCGUUCUGUUUUUUUGACACAAUUUUUGAAAAUACAGCAUGAAAAUGUGUCCAAGUCAUUAAAACUUUGUGUGUAAACGGGUUUCAAGCAGAAUCAGCAGUUGCUGGCGUAGCAGUAUAGAGGUGCCACCCUUUUGGCAAUUAACACCAGGUGGCUGCAAUUAGGUGGGCCGGUUUAAAAGUGGCACGUCUCCACCAGCUCUUCCUCUUGCCAGCGACAGCCAGUGUCCUCUCCCUCCCUCCCUCCUCCUGUGUGUAAGCGUGUGUCCUAGAACAGGUAUGUGUGUUUUUAUGUAUACGCGCGCAACCAGUUUUACUCUGAACCACUAACCACUUUUUCUGUUAGUAGGAGUUGUGUUGAUCAGCAGGAUGGGGUUGCUGCUGUUUUGUCUCUAGUGAAGUUUGUGUCUCCAUGCACUCGUCUCCGCUGAAGCUCCACCUCCAGGGAAGCUUCGUCUCCGCGGCGUUCUCCUGACAGCCUUUAUCCCCCCCCCCCGCUGAACUGCCUGGCAUCCCCGCUUCAUACCGGGCGCCAGAUCAGUCUGUUUUAACCAGGGCUGUGUCCCUUUUGUAUUGUUGGCUGGAUGUUAUUUUAUUGUAAUUUUGUAAAUUGUUUCUUUUAGUUGCUGGAGACUGGUGGUGCUGGUGGCCGGGUGGUGGUGUCCUACCCCUUUGUUUGCGGUGUCCUGGGAAGCAGGUUCCUCACUACGUUCUUUUGAGUUUUUAUUGAUUUGGUGGGUUCCCUCCACCCCCAGCGUUGUCCGCCCAUCCAGCUCCAGCCCUUAAAUUGUUCUAAUUGAUUUCUUUUGCAUUUGAAUUGAACUGCACUGAUUUUAAAAGUAUUUAAAAUAAAGUUGUACUUGUUCUAAAACCGUGAACUGCGUCUCCUGCCUAAGAGUAAACUUACCCGUGGGCCUUGUACCGUCCAGAUUAUCUCUGGGUGAAAUUCCCCGAGUGGCGUUGUUUGUUUUUUCUUUAGUUUCAUUCCCCUUUUUCACCCUAUCCUCGCCACACUGGCUAGAAACCAGAAACCCGCUUCUACAUUCUGAUCACUAAUUAUUUCAGAAAUUCACAAAGUUAAAUCUGCAACUAUUGUUGUCAUUGAUUUUGUGCCAGGCUAGAAUGGGAAGCUUGAGUCGCAUAGCAGCAGGACUCAAGAGUUCCAAUGCGUGUGAAAGGUUAAUGAAACAGCAGUGGUCCAAGACCUUUUGGGUCCAUGUGGUAUAAGUAGGGUUCAGGUUUGGGUUACCUGAGAUAUGCCUCUGAAAAGCAGCUUCUUAAAUUCUUAAACAUAAUCACUCCCCUCAAGUUAUAGAACUACCCACAUCGUUUCUUUACAUUAAGCGCACUACAGACACACCGACAUCUAUUCAAGACAAGGUCUCACCUGCUCUGUAUUUUAUAUAUCUGAUUUGACACAAAGGGGAAAGGGAGAGUGCAGUAUGUAAUGCGUGUGGGAGAGGGUUUAAAGGGCCACAAAGAGUUGAGGCAUAAAGACUUCGAGGAUAAUUCAGCUUGAACGUGUGAUUAUGCAUUUUGAAGUCUGAUAUUCAGGCAUACUGCCUCGUGAUAGCCUUGAACACGCAUGCCAAGAAAGACCACAGUAAAUGUGUUAGUAUAAAACGUCUGCCAGUUUUUGAGAAUACAUCACAGAACUAGUAACACUGAUAAAUGGCAACGGGUCCAUCUCAAACCAGGCACGUCACAGGCACUGAAGAAUGGGCUAUUCAGUCUAUGACCUCUGGGCUCCCCAAAUCCCCCCUUUGUUUUUUGUUUUUACAGACACACACACACUGCUACACCGACAAACACUGGUCCUCCAUCUGAAGCAUCAAGUUUUCCUCCUUGUGCUGGAGUACAAUCUGAAUUGAAACAAAGAGCCAGAGGUAAUGUUGCCAUCUGGUAUCUUCAACGCCGAGCAAAUAACAGUUACAUCACCAGAGUGCAAAUAUCCGUACAAAUAUUUACCAAAUCCCUGAAUGACUAAACAAUCUAGGAAACCAAUUGAAAAAGACGAAAAACCCUGUUCCCAAAAUUAAAGAGAAAUAUAUUUACCCGUAUUAAAUGUCUAAUAGAAGGAAGGAAAAGAGAAGAGCCGCAAGGAGAUGAAAUAAGAGAAAACUGCUUACGGUGAAGCGAAAUGGGAGCCAAACUUCAACUCUGGUUAAAUUAUCUUUCACCAGGACACGGUAGAGGCUGCUGUGACGUCACAGAGGUCAUAAGACGUCUGAAAGGCCGAUGCUGCAGCAGAGAGGCUGACAUGGUGAGACAGUUUGACAUUUGAACAGGAGGUAUAAAAUGAGAGCGUUUUACCUGAAACGAUCCAAUUGAGAGAAGUGCAUGGGGCUGUAACUCACACCAUGUCAGUCAGAGUUCAUUGUCGAACCGAAUCAAUCAACUGUGGUGGAGCCCAUGAAGAUGGUGGCAAAUAAAAAAACUGCACGGUUCACAAAGAAAAAGAUCUUCCCCAGACAUUUUCACAAGUUGAAUUAGUUUGACUCACCCUUGAUGCAGAAUAAAAGUGGCUGUGUCCUCCUGAUCAUGCAUGCAGUGGUUGGACAGGUACACACAGGUGAGAAUGUUUUUGUUUCGUUUUCUUUUUCAUUGUUCACACGCUUCUGUUUUUUUACACACUGGGACGCUCUUGAAUUAGGGCUGAAUUUCUUUCUGGGAGAACAGACAAUGCAUUUAACCCAUCCAGGGAAUUUUGGGAGCAGUGGGCUGCUGUAAAGGAACUCGGGGGGAACUUGUCGCUCAAUAACACUGAAAUGCAGACAAUAGGUGCGAAGAAUCAAGAGGAUGGCACGCAACACACGGUGAGCUGCAACCACCACGGCUUGUUUGUUUCAUUGUCUCUAGUCCCUCUUUACAGUGGAAGGUUUUUCAGCCUGUUCUGCUCGUGGAGGUUCAGAGGCUCUUUACACACCUUGGCGUUGCAACUGAAUGGGGGAUAAGAACAGCACAGGUAAGGUGUUUUGUUUUGACGUGAUCUCAGGCGUUUAUCAGUACGACAAAGCCUUGGGUAGGAGGUUCCUCUAAAAGGAUUGUGUUGAAGUGUGUCAAGCUUUUAGACGGCAAUUAAGAAAUUAAGAUAUAAAAAUGCAUUUAUUAUUCUCUAUUUAGCAGCUAAAUUGAAGGAUUGUUUAGUAAAGACAUCUGACUAGGCGCAGCUCUUCAAUUCAAAUAUGUUUGUUCUCUCAAAAGUGGCUGUGUUUGGAUUUAAUGUGGUGUAUUCCUUUAUUGACUCCAUGACCUUUCUUCAGAACCACAAACCGUUCAUCAUUCCCUUGACGUCUCAGUAAUAAAGGUUAAAUUUGUUUUGCAUUAUUGUUUCUAAUAGACAGAAAUGUAUUGAUAUCAGUGACACAAUGGCUUUUACCCGGGCAAAACCAUCUAAUCCCUUUGCAUAACCAUUUUGUCAUAGGGCGGUAAAGUGUUCUUGGCUAUCGCCCUUGGCAGAAGUUUUUAGUAUUUUGAGUACAUUUAAGAGUCUGCGUUUACAUGCAUGCCCUUUCCCAUUCUGAGUGAUGGGGUGUAGUGUAUUGCAAUCACUUGACCUGCGGGUUUCUUCAAUUUGGGACCUGUGCUGCUGCUAUUUUAUAUUAUGUCGGCAUGAGAGAGCAAAAAGAGCUACUCUCUAUGGUGCACAAGGGGCCAAUGCUGCUGAGUAUUAGAUUACUUUUUCAAAAGAAAGAGAAGCUGCAUGUAUUCACUGAACCGUUUCUGUGUUUUUCUAUGAGGAUUUACAUGUAGGCCUCUUUAAUACAGUAUUGUCUUUAUUUAGGGCUGGGACAUUGAGGGUUGUAGAAUUUAAUAAUGUAAGCCUUGCUACACCUGCAGGGAUGUAUUUUGGAAUAACAAAAUCAGUUAUGGCCAAAUCCCCGUCAUUGUGAAGUCAAAGCUGCACUCCUGUACAAGUGCCAGACUUGUAAGUUGUUAUGUACUUUUUUACUGUAGUAUGUUGCAACAAAACCAAACAAAAAAACAACAUUUCCAAAAUGAGAUUUGUUAGAUUGAUAAGUGAUUGAUAAGUUGCCUUCCAUUAUUUUCUUUGUGUUCAAAGAGUAAUAUUGAAAAUAGUGCCACACCUAAAAAGGACUGGCAUAUUUUUUAAUAUCAGGGAAUUAUUCCACCCCCUCUUGCCCAUAAACAUGCUCCAAUCAGUCAGCAACUGAAAGCUGCAACAACAACAAAGCAGUCAGCAACAAACUGAGUCCAUCAUUACAAAAUGAUUACAAAUAAUCAUUUUUGUAAUGACGGUACUUUUCAGUUAAAACUACUGUUUACCACAAUUCUGGUUUUCAUGUCUGUCUACCUAUGCAACCAAAACACCCUGCUUUAUCUUUCAGUAUAGUAGUGUUUUUGCAAGCAAGCUUUAAGAAAUGCUUGAUACUUUCAAACUGUAAGUAAACGUUGGCCAGAGUGAUAUUAGUCAGUUCAACCCAGCCUUUUAAUUCCAGUGUGCAGGUUCUGAUCAUGCGCAGAAGAAACGUCUCCCUCAGUCAGGUCACUCCAACAGAGCAUUUAGCCAGCAUGUGUUAAAAGGCAGAAAUGCCAGCUAGAGCCAGACUAUCCACCAGACUGUGGCUGAGAGGCAGAGGGUGUGAUUACUGUUGGUUUUUGAAGAGGUCUGCACACAUCAGCAUUCCACCUGUUUUCUCUCAUACAACCACUGUAGAGGGAACCUGUGAAGACAUCAUUGUUCUAUAUGACAAUUGCCUUCGGCAUCAAUUUUAGCCUAAACUGCAGCCCUGCUGGGUUAAUCAGUCUGGGAGACCAGAAAUCACUCAACAAAAUCACUGGCUAAUUUAAUCAGUUUGUGCGCUUGGUAUUACCUGCAGCCCAUUUCAAGCCCCAUUACCACUAGUGAGUGCAGCGGUACGGACGUUUAUACUUUAUAGCUGAUCAGCAAAAGGAUGGAAAAGGCUUAUAGCAGAGGUUAACAAGCCAUUUUCUGAUACACAUAUUCUUUCUUUCACACUUUAUGUUUUUGCCUUUUAGUUUUUUUCAGUAAUUCAUUUAUUUUUCAUAAUAGCAGGCUUGAUGUUGAUCUAUUUGGAUCUAAUGUUUCCGUUUUAUUGCGGACUUUCAGGAUAAUCCUUUAUUACCGCCAAAAUUACACUAAAAUGUUGAUGGAAUUUCCCAGAAAAUAGAGUAACCAAUAAGCUAUGUGAGGUCAAAUUGAAUCACCCCAUUAGAUUUGUUUUUCCUCUUUUUAUAAAAAGAAAAUCCUGCUAUUUCUGAGAAUGAUUGUUAAUUCUUUUGUUUGAAAGACCUUUUUUUUGCCUUUUGGUGAAAGACUUUCAUCUGUUUAUGUAUAUAGUAUACAACUGAACUGGAAGGAAGUAAAGUGAUCAACAAAUGAGAUAAACAGAGUAAAUGGCUCUAAGUUGACAAUCUCCAGCUCUAUUGACUAAAGGUCAACAUUUGGUUUGUCAUCAGACAAAUAUCCAGAAUCUCACAUUUGCCAAUUAUCCAGAAAUUAAGUUAAUGUGAUUACAUAUUAAUCCUCCUGCCUAUCUGUCCAUACAUUGGCCUCCUUUACUCUAUUAGUACAUGGUUUGUUCAUUAUUCUUAACGAUCUAACUGGUAUGUAAAAGUCUAUUUUUGUUUCAUAUUGCCGUUUUCUGUCCCUCCUUGACCUGUUUCCCCAAAUACUGCUAUAUCCAGGUCUCUGUCCCGUUCAUUAUGUUACAGUGUGGCAAAUAAUGCCAAUUUGCACUAUUUAAAAAAAACUAAAGUAGUGAGGAAACUUUUGCUAUUUGAGUGUGAUCUGAUAGAUUUACUCUCAGGAUGGAAACACACAUACGAUUACUCUGGAAAGUCAUAUCACACACACAUUUAUGCUAAAGCUGUAAUAAAUUAAGAUGUUUGACCAAAAACUCCUGGACAUUAAUACUUUGAUUUAAUUUUGUUAUGUUGUCUUUUUUUAUUCACAUUACGUCAUGACUUUGCUUUAUAAAUAUAUAUAUUUAUUUAAUUUUUUUUCGUAAACACAUCAGUCAUCGUGAUUCAAAAAUCAUUCCAGCCUUUUUUCAGGCCGGAACAAUUCAGCCACCUGCUGGGUUUUUUAUAUUUAGAGACAAGAGGCGCAAAAUCAAUGAUCUGAGCAGUUGCACUCUCUUGAACCCCAAAAGCCUACUAAAACCCACUCAAGAUGUAAUCGCUGACUGCCAUUCAACAAUUAUAACCUACAAUGGCUCUCUUUCAAUCAGAAUACGCAGCCCAAAACUUCACCUGUGUUAAGCACUAUUUUUUAACACUGUUCUGUAAAAAAAUGUUUUUGCAACAUCUGUCAUUUAAAUUGGGUGAAUUGAUUUUAUCCUUUUUUGUAUAUUGUGUGAUGAAGUAAUAGGGCAAUGGUAUGGCUGCUCUGACUUUCUGAUGUUGAAGUGGUUCACUCGACUGACGGUCCUCUUUUAAAAACACCACUGACAAAACUGUGAUUUAAUUCAAUAUAAUCUGAAUAGGGGUCAGUGGUACUACAGGAGCAUGCAGUGUACAAACUGUAGUGGUUAAAUUGUUACGAUGAACUCAUUGGAAGAGGUCCAUCGUCCCUGCAGUGUUUUUCAAUAAAAUGCUUACAAAAGUAGCUGUGUUGCUAUUAAUGUAUUCUAAUCGGUAUUAUCACAUCUGUCAUUUAAAGCCUUUCAAACAACCCUUAAACAUUGCCCUAAUUUUGGUCUCGUCGCUUUAAUCUUCAUGAUGCCUGCUUUAAAUAACAUGUCGGCUCCGCGGCCAGAGGAGGGCUGAUCAUUCUGCACAUUGCCUGGCAGCAGUCAGGUGAUUGCAAAAGAUUCUUGUUCUCUGAACGGGUUGUCGUUCAAGAUAGCUUUGCAACCUGCUCUGAACUUCGCUCAGAGUGUUUGAACUUGACGAUGCACCCCCUGUUGCAGGCCGCUACAGGCGGGCCACCCUCCGACCAGUCCUCACUCCUUUUUUUUUUUUCUUCAGGAUUUCCUGCAGGUCUGGGGUUACAGAGCUGACGUAUUGAUCCGCCCAUCCGUGUGCUUCAUGCAUCUGUGUGCUUUCUCGUUGUUAUUCUUAUUCUGUGGGUGAAUGACAAAGACAAGUAUACACAGCGGGCAUAGUCAGCUCCUUUAUUUACUGCAUGGUGGAAGACUGCAGGGUUUAAUUGUUAUGGUCACUCACUAUGCUAACGAGCUAUAGUCACACGCAGGUAAAACAAAGUUGGACAAAAUUUUUAUAAGGACACAUUGUAAAAAUAAAGCCUUUAAAUACGUCAGUAGGAAUCAAAGAAAGAUUAAUAAAUGAAAAAUAAAGGCAAGCGGAAAGAAAAUGGAUAAAAUCAGAAAUGACAAAAUGGUUUGGAGGAUUAAGAGAUUAAGUAGAACUAAUCAAAUCAUCCUGGAAAUUAGAGACGCAUUGGAUUUGUUCUGUCUUUUGGAUGAAGCCAAAUCUCUGUUUGUCUGAAAUUAGUUGUACUGUAUUUUUUUUCUCUUGAAAGAGGUGGUCCUUAUAUAAUUUAAUUUUUUGAAAAUUACUUGGAGAUUAAAAGGGAAUGAAAAAUAUGAUUUACAGAUAGUGGUGAAUCCACUUGUUUGCUCUCCCAUUUGAAUGUUGCUUAGUAGGAAAUAUAUUUAUUUUGAUCCCUAAAGUGCUUUAAACCAUUUAGGGACUAAGAUUUCAAAACGGUAAUGAUUUGGAACUUAUUUAACAUGUUUAUCGGGAAUAUCCAUUGGAAGGAUUUAAAAUGUGUGUUCUGGUUUAAUAGGGCAAAAAUUAAUAAAACUUGAAACUUUUCCAUUCAUAUGUUAUUUGUGGUAAUAUACAGAAGUCGACUGGGGAUGCGUGGUAAUCUGUGAAUGUGGAUUUUGUUAUACAUAUUUAAUGUAAAAUCAAACAUGAAUUAAAUUUUUCUCAAAUGAAUCCCAUAACUGUACUUCACUGAUAUUAUUAGUACAUAGACAUGAAAUAAUCAAUCACCAACACUGAACGAAAUAUGUAUUUAUUUAAUUAAAUAAAAAUUGAAUUAAAAAUUAGUUUGCAAUUGAGAAGCACAUUAGAAAGACUUAACACCUCUUAGAAGAAUGAGACUUGAAAUUUAAAACUAGUCCGAAUUUGCAAGUUAAUGACGUUUUGUCCACAUGCAUAUUCCCUUUUAUACAAUAUUAAUUUACAACUUUUUAUAAAAAGCACUAGUAGGCGUGAAGCCAAUGCAAAAUGUUUUAACAGAGGCUACACCAAAGCAUGUUUUUACCCUCAAAUCUGUAUCACGUAUAAGUGAAAAGAAAAAGGCGUGUGUGCAUAGCGCAUGACAUGCCAAUAGCACGCUGUGUGCUAUGCGCCAUCGCAGCCGCUUGUCUCGCAUCUGGUCAUUUUCCCUUCCUGAUGUGUCCAUAUGUGUAGCACACUGCUGUUGAACUCAUGCCUUCCUUCCCUCUUCCACUGUCUCUCUUUCCCUCAUCUGCAGGCAGGUGCUCGUCCUCUGGUACCCAUGGGGUUAUGGACGGAUGGGACAUGUGCCGAAUACUGAGCGACUGGCUACACCGGUUAAUGCAAAUGAAAAAGGGAAGGCGAGGCUGAAGUCCUUACGAAGCUCAAGCGAAAGAUCCGCCAUCAGCAUCCCUACCCCUGGAUUAUUCUACUGCA
ensembl:lncRNA